CAGCAGCCACGGGAAUACGGAGGGAGCUAGCGUUGUUCGGAAUUACUGGGCGUAAAGCGCGCGUAGGCGGUUACUCAAGUCAGAGGUGAAAGCCCGGGGCUCAACCCCGGAACUGCCUUUGAAACUAGGUGACUAGAAUCUUGGAGAGGUCAGUGGAAUUCCGAGUGUAGAGGUGAAAUUCGUAGAUAUUCGGAAGAACACCAGUGGCGAAGGCGGCUCACUGGCCCGAUACUGACGCUGAGGCACGAAAGCGUGGGGAGCAAACAGGAUUAGAUACCCCUGUAGUCCCUGUCUCUUAUAA
rnacentral:rRNA from 1 species